GUGUUUAUGUAGUAAAAGGAUGAGUAAUUUUUCGACUUAUAUAAGAACCUGUUAGGACUUCCAUUCCAUUCGUUCUUUCAGUUGGAUGUAAACAGUCAUUGAGGAGAGACUCUAGAUCCCGGAGGACAGAGGUAAAGUCACGUGCUCUUCUUUGUAUUCUGUUCUGUAGUUCUACACAUAUAUCAAUAUUAUACUGAGAUACAGUUAUAUACAAAUAUCUCACACAGAAUGUAACAUUUAACUGGAUAAAAAAAAUAUACUUCCAGAUGUAUCUUAUAUAUAGUUAUCUACUGAAAUAUACUUUUAAAUAUUCUUCUUUUUUUCAGAAGGUUGACUGCACGCAUUAGAAGAACCAUGUUUCACAUCCAAGGACAACUUAGUUGGAAACUCCUGCUGUGUAUUUUGUUAUCAUUGACAGUAGACUUUGCGUCAGGGCCACGCAGCAGAAGUGAUUGUUCUACAAAUGAAUACUGGAGCGACGGGCUCUGCUGUGACAAAUGUGCUCCAGGGUAUAAGUUGGUGAGAGAAUGCUCUAGUGUCUUGUCAUCUCAAUGUGAGGAAUGUGAGAAUGGGACAUACCUAGACAAGAUGAACUAUUUCCCAAACUGCUUCAGAUGCGAGAAAUGCACCAAGCGAAAUGCGGUGGUGAUUUCACCAUGUACACCCCAAAAUAACACCGUGUGUGGAUGUCAGUCUGGAUACUUCAAAAAGUUCUUUGAUAGCAUUUCAUGGGAGUGUGCACCCUUGAACCUUAUUUUUCCUUUAAAAAUUAUUUGAAGGUUAGCCUGAAGUAUGACCGAAGAACAAAACAAAAAUGUAGUUCUUGUGAGAUGAGACUGAGUCAGAAUGUAUGGAAUCUACUUUCCCUUUAUUUUCAGCUUAAGAUGUAGUCUUAUGUAGUGGGGAUGUUGUGGCCUAGUGGUUAGAGAGUUUGACUCCUAACCCUAAGGUUGUGGGAUCGAGUCUCGGGCCGGCAAUACCACGACUGAGGUCAUGGAACAUGUAUCUAAUAACUUUUAUAAGGUUUGUAAAACAUUUCAAGAUGAACGUUUACUGGACU